rnacentral:rRNA from 1 species
AGCAGUCGCCGCGGUAAUACGGAGGAUCCAAGCGUUAUCCGGAAUCAUUGGGUUUAAAGGGUCCGUAGGCGGUCUUGUAAGUCAGUGGUGAAAGCCCAUCGCUCAACGGUGGAACGGCCAUUGAUACUGCAGGACUUGAAUUAUUGGGAAGUAACUAGAAUAUGUAGUGUAGCGGUGAAAUGCUUAGAGAUUACAUGGAAUACCAAUUGCGAAGGCAGGUUACUACCAAUUGAUUGACGCUGAUGGACGAAAGCGUGGGUAGCGAACAGGAUUAGAUACCCGUGUAGUCCCUGUCUCUUAUAU